GAGUUUGAUCGUGGCUCAGAUUGAACGCUGGCGGCAUGCCUUACACAUGCAAGUCGAACGGCAGCAUGAUCUAGCUUGCUAGAUUGAUGGCGAGUGGCGAACGGGUGAGUAAUACAUCGGAACGUGCCCUGUAGUGGGGGAUAACUAGUCGAAAGAUUAGCUAAUACCGCAUACGACCUGAGGGUGAAAGUGGGGGACCGCAAGGCCUCAUGCUAUAGGAGCGGCCGAUGUCUGAUUAGCUAGUUGGUGGGGUAAAGGCCCACCAAGGCGACGAUCAGUAGCUGGUCUGAGAGGACGAUCAGCCACACUGGGACUGAGACACGGCCCAGACUCCUACGGGAGGCAGCAGUGGGGAAUUUUGGACAAUGGGCGAAAGCCUGAUCCAGCAAUGCCGCGUGUGUGAAGGAGGCC
rnacentral:rRNA from 1 species